rnacentral:lncRNA from 1 species
CUCUUUAGAGUCUAUCAUAUUGACUUUUCCACCUUUUGCCAUAGAGAAUUAGAAAAACACAUGCCUUCAAAAGAAAUUUUUUUGAUCUAUGAUAUAAAGAAAAGAAACCAAAUGAAUAUUAAAAAAAGAUCAAUAUUAGUCUAGGAAGAGGAUAAUCCGCAACCUCUAGAAUACUAUAGUACUUUCAAGAAGAGGGGUAAU